AAGUAACGAUAAAGCGGGUGAAAAGCCCGCUCGCCGGAAGACCAAGGGUUCCUGUCCAACGUUAAUCGGGGCAGGGUGAGUCGACCCCUAAGGCGAGGCCGAAAGGCGUAGUCGAUGGGAAACGGGUUAAUAUUCCCGUACUUGGUGUUACUGCGAAGGGGGGACGGAGAAGGCUAUGUUGGCCGGGCGACGGUUGUCCCGGUUUAAGCGUGUAGGUGUGUGUUCCAGGUAAAUCCGGUUCACUUUAACACUGAGGCGUGACGACGAGGCACUACGGUGCUGAAGCAACAAAUGCCCUGCUUCCAGGAAAAGCCUCUAAGCAUCAGGUAACAUCAAAUCGUACCCCAAACCGACACAGGUGGUCAGGUAGAGAAUACCAAGGCGCUUGAGAGAACUCGGGUGAAGGAACUAGGCAAAAUGGUGCCGUAACUUCGGGAGAAGGCACGCUGACACGUAGGUGAAGUGAUUUACUCAUGGAGCUGAAGUCAGUCGAAGAUACCAGCUGGCUGCAACUGUUUAUUAAAAACACAGCACUGUGCAAACACGAAAGUGGACGUAUACGGUGUGACGCCUGCCCGGUGCCGGAAGGUUAAUUGAUGGGGUCAGCGCAAGCGAAGCUCCUGAUCGAAGCCCCGGUAAACGGCGGCCGUAACUAUAACGGUCCUAAGGUAGCGAAAUUCCUUGUCGGGUAAGUUCCGACCUGCACGAAUGGCGUAAUGAUGGCCAGGCUGUCUCCACCCGAGACUCAGUGAAAUUGAACUCGCUGUGAAGAUGCAGUGUACCCGCGGCAAGACGGAAAGACCCCGUGAACCUUUACUAUAGCUUGACACUGAACAUUGAGCCUUGAUGUGUAGGAUAGGUGGGAGGCUUUGAAGUGUGGACGCCAGUCUGCAUGGAGCCGACCUUGAAAUACCACCCUUUAAUGUUUGAUGUUCUAACGUGGACCCGUUACCCGGGUUGCGGACAGUGUCUGGUGGGUAGUUUGACUGGGGCGGUCUCCUCCUAAAGAGUAACGGAGGAGCACGAAGGUUGGCUAAUCCUGGUCGGACAUCAGGAGGUUAGUGCAAUGGCAUAAGCCAGCUUGACUGCGAGCGUGACGGCGCGAGCAGGUGCGAAAGCAGGUCAUAGUGAUCCGGUGGUUCUGAAUGGAAGGGCCAUCGCUCAACGGAUAAAAGGUACUCCGGGGAUAACAGGCUGAUACCGCCCAAGAGUUCAUAUCGACGGCGGUGUUUGGCACCUCGAUGUCGGCUCAUCACAUCCUGGGGCUGAAGUAGGUCCCAAGGGUAUGGCUGUUCGCCAUUUAAAGUGGUACGCGAGCUGGGUUUAGAACGUCGUGAGACAGUUCGGUCCCUAUCUGCCGUGGGCGCUGGAGAACUGAGGGGGGCUGCUCCUAGUACGAGAGGACCGGAGUGGACGCAUCACUGGUGUUCGGGUUGUCAUGCCAAUGGCACUGCCCGGUAGCUAAAUGCGGAAGAGAUAAGUGCUGAAAGCAUCUAAGCACGAAACUUGCCCCGAGAUGAGUUCUCCCUGAGACUUAAAGUCUCCUGAAGGAACGUUG
rnacentral:rRNA from 1 species